GACGAACGCUGGCGGCGCGCUUAAUACAUGCAAGUCGAACGAGAACCAGAGGUGCUUGCACUUCUGGGGACAGUGGCGAACGGGUGAGUAUCACGUGAGAAACCUGCCUCGAAGAUUGGGACAACAGAAGGAAACUUCUGCUAAUACCGAAUAUCUUCUUUUUAACUCCUGUUUUAAAGAAGAAAGCUCCGGCGCUUCGAGAUGGUCUCGCGUCCUAUCAGCUUGUUGGUGAGGUAAAAGCUCACCAAGGCAUCGACGGGUAGCUGGUCUGAGAGGAUGUCCAGCCACACUGGAACUGAGACACGGUCCAGACUCCUACGGGAGGCAGCAGUAGGGAAUCUUGCACAAUGAGGGAAACCUUGAUGCAGCGACGCCGCGUGCGGGACGAAGGCCUUAGGGUUGUAAACCGCUUUCAGUAGGGAAGAAAGUGACGGUACCUACAGAAGAAGCCCCGGCCAAAUAUGUGCCAGCAGCCGCAG
rnacentral:rRNA from 1 species